rnacentral:rRNA from 1 species
CCUACGGGGGGCAGCAGUGGGGAAUAUUGGACAAUGGGGGCAACCCUGAUCCAGCCAUGCCGCGUGUGUGAAGAAGGCCCUCGGGUGGUAAAGCACUUUCAGUGAGGAAGAACGCCUGGUGGUUAAUACCCAUCAGGAAAGACAUCACUCACAGAAGAAGCACCGGCUAACUCCGUGCCAGCAGCCGCGGUAAUACGGAGGGUGCGAGCGUUAAUCGGAAUUACUGGGCGUAAAGCGCGCGUAGGUGGCUUGAUAAGCCGGUUGUGAAAGCCCCGGGCUCAACCUGGGAACGGCAUCCGGAACUGUCAAGCUAGAGUGCAGGAGAGGAAGGUAGAAUUCCCGGUGUAGCGGUGAAAUGCGUAGAGAUCGGGAGGAAUACCAGUGGCGAAGGCGGCCUUCUGGACUGACACUGACACUGAGGUGCGAAAGCGUGGGUAGCAAACAGGAUUAGAUACCCUUGUAGUC